rnacentral:rRNA from 1 species
UACGUAGGGUGCGAGCGUUGUCCGGAUUUAUUGGGCGUAAAGGGCUCGUAGGCGGCUUGUCGCGUCGGGAGUGAAAGCCCGCUGCUUAACUGCGGAACUGCAUUGGAAACUAUUUGACUAGAGGAAUGGAGGGGAGACUGGAAUACUUGGUGUAGCAGUGAAAUGCGUAGAUAUCAAGUGGAACACCAGUGGCGAAGGCGAGUCUCUGGACAUUUCCUGACGCUGAGGCACGAAAGCCAGGGGAGCAAACGGG